rnacentral:rRNA from 1 species
UACGUAGGGGGCGAGCGUUGUCCGAAUUCACUGGGCGUAAAGCGCGCGUAGGCGGGUGUUUAAGUUGGGGGUGAAAUGCCGAGGCUCAACCUCGGAACUGCCUCCAAAACUGGGCGCCUUGAGGUAUGGAGGGGGAUGUGGAAUUCCUGGUGUAGCGGUGAAAUGCGUAGAUAUCAGGAGGAACACCUGUGGCGAAGGCGGCAUCCUGGCCAUAUCCUGACGCUGAGGUGCGAAAGCUAGGGGAG